rnacentral:rRNA from 1 species
UACGUAGGGUGCAAGCGUUGUCCGGAAUUAUUGGGCGUAAAGAGCGUGUAGGCGGCCACGCAGGUCCGUUGUGAAAACUGGAGGCUCAACCUCCAGACGUCGACGGAAACCGUGUGGCUAGAGUCCGGAAGAGGAGAGUGGAAUUCCUGGUGUAGCGGUGAAAUGCGCAGAUAUCAGGAAGAACACCAAUGGCGAAGGCAGCUCUCUGGGACGGUACUGACGCUGAGACGCGAAAGCGUGGGGAGCGAACAGG